rnacentral:rRNA from 1 species
GACGAACGCUGGCGGCGUGCUUAACACAUGCAAGUCGAACGGAAAGGCCCUGCUUUUGUGGGGUGCUCGAGUGGCGAACGGGUGAGUAACACGUGAGUAACCUGCCCUUGACUUUGGGAUAACUUCAGGAAACUGGGGCUAAUACCGGAUAGGAGCUCCUGCUGCAUGGUGGGGGUUGGAAAGUUUCGGCGGUUGGGGAUGGACUCGCGGCUUAUCAGCUUGUUGGUGGGGUAGUGGCUUACCAAGGCUUUGACGGGUAGCCGGCCUGAGAGGGUGACCGGCCACAUUGGGACUGAGAGACGGCCCAGACGCCUACGGGAGGCAGCAGUGGGGAAUAUUGCACAAUGGGCGGAAGCCUGAUGCAGCAACGCCGCGGGCGGGAUGACGGCCUUCGGGUUGUAAACCGCUUUCGCCUGUGACGAAGCGUGAGUGACGGUAAUGGGUAAAGAAGCACCGGCUAACUACGUG